GAUGAACGCUAGCGGGAGGCCUAACACAUGCAAGCCGAGCGGUAUUGUUUCUUCGGAAAUGAGAGAGCGGCGUACGGGUGCGUAACACGUGUGCAACCUGCCUUUAUCUGGGGGAUAGCCUUUCGAAAGGAAGAUUAAUACUCCAUAAUAUAUUGAGCGGCAUCGUUUAAUAUUGAAAGCUCCGGCGGAUAGAGAUGGGCACGCGCAAGAUUAGCUAGUUGGUGAGGUAACGGCUCACCAAGGCGAUGAUCUUUAGGGGGCCUGAGAGGGUGAUCCCCCACACUGGUACUGAGACACGGACCAGACUCCUACGGGAGGCAGCAGUGAGGAAUAUUGGUCAAUGGGUGCAAGCCUGAACCAGCCAUCCCGCGUGAAGGACGACUGCCCUAUGGGUUGUAAACUUCUUUUGUAUAGGGAUAAACCUACCCUCGAGAGGGUAGCUGAAGGUACUAUACGAAUAAGCACCGGCUAACUCCGUG
rnacentral:rRNA from 1 species